UGACUAAUAAAUGAGAAAUAAAAAAAGUUCUAUGUUUUGUGUAACUUGCAAGUGGAAGUCGGGUGGGUAAAACAUGUUUCACUACUGUUUUUUAUGAAAUUUGUUUUUAUAAUAAGAGAAGACCACUGGAACUGAAUUCUAGGAAGUUUUUCGCCGAGAAUCAUGUAUGUAGUGUAUUGGGAUGUCAUUACCGGUAUCCCAGUAUGAAGCUUUGCUGGCAGAGGUUCGUGGCCUCAGGCGGAAAGCCCAACACGUUCAGCAGCUAGCUAGGCCUCUUUUACAAAGUGAAUCUGCUUCGGGUACAUUUCAACCGGAAUCGCGAAGAACCCUAAAGGAGUUUGGGUCACCUACAGAUGAUCUACCACCUUCCAGUAUCAGGGAUGAUGGUUUAUCUGAACCAUUAGAUUAUACCAUGGAAUCACUUCUUCUGGGCCGACAUACAAAUGCUACGUCACCUAAU